GGGCCCGUAGCUCAGUUGGUAGAGCACCAGGCUUUUAACCUGGGUGUCGCGGGUUCGAGAAUAGAAACCAAAGAGCAUAUGACGGCUUGAUUAUAUUGGAUUAAGCCGUCCACCUAAGUUUGGUUUCUAUGCAUCCAGCGACCAGUUCGAAACACCCGUCGGGCCCA
rnacentral:tRNA from 1 species